UCCGUCAAUUCCUUUGAGUUUCAGCCUUGCGGCCGUACUCCCCAGGCGGGGCACUUAUCGCGUUAGCUGCGACACGGAAGGGGUCGAUCCCACCCGCGUCUAGUGCCCAUCGUUUACGGCGUGAACUACCGGGGUAUCUAAUCCCGUUUGCUCCCCUGGCUUUCGCGCCUCAGCGUCAGUGUUGGCCCAGCAACCCGUCUUCACCUCAGGUGUUCCUCUUGAUAUCUACGCAUUUCACCGCUACACCAAGAAUUCCGAUUGCCCCUUCCACACUCUAGCACUGCAGUAUCACUUGGCCGUUCUGAGUUAAGCUCAGAGAUUUCACAAGUGACUUACCGCGCCGCCUACGCGCCCUUUACGCCCAGUAAAUCCGAACAACGCUUGGUCCCUACGUAUUACC
rnacentral:misc_RNA from 1 species